AACGAACGCUGGCGGCAGGCCUAACACAUGCAAGUCGAACGCCCUAGCAAUAGGGAGUGGCAGACGGGUGAGUAACACGUGGGAACCUUCCCUAUAGUACGGAAUAGCCCAGGGAAACUUGGAGUAAUACCGUAUACGCCCGAGAGGGGAAAGAUUUAUCGCUAUAGGAUGGGCCCGCGUAGGAUUAGCUAGUUGGUGAGGUAAUGGCUCACCAAGGCGACGAUCCUUAGCUGGUUUGAGAGAACGACCAGCCACACUGGGACUGAGACACGGCCCAGACUCCUACGGGAGGCAGCAGUGGGGAAUAUUGGACAAUGGGCGCAAGCCUGAUCCAGCCAUGCCGCGUGAGUGAUGAAGGCCUUAGGGUUGUAAAGCUCUUUUAGCAGGGAAGAUAAUGACUGUACCUGCAGAAUAAGCUCCGGCUAACUUCGUGCCAGCAGCCACGGUAAGGCGUA
rnacentral:rRNA from 1 species